UACGGAGGGUGCAAGCGUUAUCCGGAUUCACUGGGCUUAAAGGGUGCGUAGGUGGGUCUGUAAGUCAGUGGUGAAAUCUCCGUGCUUAACAUGGAAACUGCCAUUGAUACUAUAGGUCUUGAAUUUUCUGGAGGUCAGCGGAAUAUGUCAUGUAGCGGUGAAAUGCUUAGAUAUGACAUAGAACACCAAUGGCGAAGGCAGCUGGCUACAGGGAUAUUGACACUGAGGCACGAAAGCGUGGGGAGCAAACAGG
rnacentral:rRNA from 1 species